rnacentral:rRNA from 1 species
GACAGAGGGUGCAAACGUUGUUCGGAGUUACUGGGCGUAAAGCGCUUGUAGGCGGUCCACCAAGUUUGGGGUGACAGUUGCCGACUUAAUCGGCAAAGUGCCUCAAAGACUGGCGGACUUGAGGGCCACAGAGGGACAUGGAACUCCAGGUGUAGUGGUGAAAUUCGUAGAUAUCGGGAGGAACACCAGUGGCGAAGGCGGCGAUCUGGGAAGAUACUGACGCUGAGGUGCGAAAGCGUGGGGAGCAAACAGG